rnacentral:rRNA from 1 species
UCCUAAGGUAGCGAAAUUCCUUGUCGGGUAAGUUCCGACCUGCACGAAUGGCGUAAUGAUGGCCAGGCUGUCUCCACCCGAGACUCAGUGAAAUUGAACUCGCUGUGAAGAUGCAGUGUACCCGCGGCAAGACGGAAAGACCCCGUGAACCUUUACUAUAGCUUUACACUGAACGUUGAGUUCGUCUGUGUAGGAUAGGUGGGAGGCUUUGAAGUGUGGACGCCAGUCUGCAUGGAGCCGACCUUGAAAUACCACCCUUUAAUGUUUGAUGUUCUAACGUUGACCCGUAAUCCGGGUUGCGGACAGUGUCUGGUGGGUAGUUUGACUGGGGCGGUCUCCUCCUAAAGAGUAACGGAGGAGCACGAAGGUCAGCUAAUCCUGGUCGGACAUCAGGAGGUUAGUGCAAUGGCAUAAGCUAGCUUGACUGCGAGAGUGACGGCUCGAGCAGGUGCGAAAGCAGGUCAUAGUGAUCCGGUGGUUCUGAAUGGAAGGGCCAUCGCUCAACGGAUAAAAGGUACUCCGGGGAUAACAGGCUGAUUCC